rnacentral:rRNA from 1 species
AAUACGUUCCCGGGUCUUGUACACACCGCCCGUCACACCACGAAAGUUGGUAACACCCGAAAGCCGGUGGCCUAACCUUUUGGAGGGAGCCGUCGAAGGUGGGACCAAUGAUUGGGGUG